GGUGCCAUAGUGUAGUGUUAGCACGUCUGCUUUACACACAGAAGGUCCUGGGUUCGCUCCCCAGUGGAGCCA
rnacentral:tRNA from 1 species